UAGAGUUUGAUCCUGGCUCAGGAUGAACGCUGGCGGCGUGCCUAAUACAUGCAAGUCGAACGCACAGCGAAAGGUGCUUGCACCUUUCAAGUGAGUGGCGAACGGGUGAGUAACACGUGGAUAACCUACCUCAAGGUUGGGGAUAACAUUUGGAAACAGAUGCUAAUACCGAAUAAAACUUAGUAUCGCAUGAUACCAGGUUAAAAGGCGCUACGGCGUCACCUAGAGAUGGAUCCGCGGUGCAUUAGUUAGUUGGUGGGGUAAAGGCUUACCAAGACAAUGAUGCAUAGCCGAGUUGAGAGACUGAUCGGCCACAUUGGGACUGAGACACGGCCCAAACUCCUACGGGAGGCUGCAGUAGGGAAUCUUCCACAAUGGGCGAAAGCCUGAUGGAGCAACGCCGCGUGUGUGAUGAAGGCUUUCGGGUCGUAAAGCACUGUUGUAUGGGAAGAACAGCUAGAGUAGGGAAUGACUUUAGUUUGACGGUACCAUACCAGAAAGGGACGGCUAAAUACGUGCCAGCAGCCGCGGUAAUACGUAUGUCCCGAGCGUUAUCCGGAUUUAUUGGGCGUAAAGCGAGCGCAGACGGUUAAUUAAGUCUGAUGUGAAAGCCCGGAGCUCAACUCCGGAAAGGCAUUGGAAACUGGUUAACUUGAGUGCAGUAGAGGUAAGUGGAACUCCAUGUGUAGCGGUGGAAUGACGUAGAUAUAUGGAAGAACACCAGCGGCGAAGGCGGCUUACUGGACUGUAACUGACGUUGAGGCUCGAAAGUGUGGGUAGCAAACAGGAUUAGAUACCCUGGUAGUCCACACCGUAAACGAUGAACACUAGGUGUUAGGAGGUUUCCGCCUCUUAGUGCCGAAGCUAACGCAUUAAGUGUUCCGCCUGGGGAGUACGACCGCAAGGUUGAAACUCAAAGGAAUUGACGGGGAACCGCACAAGCG
rnacentral:rRNA from 1 species